UCAGCUGUCUCCCAUUUCAUAACUAGCUGCAAAGGAAUAUUCUGUAUAAGCAGACCUACUUCUUCCCACAUCUAUGGUUAACAAGCAAAUGAACCUAUAUAUCCACAUCUCCAAAGGGAAAGUUUUUUUUCCCAUGUGAAAUCUGAUAUCCCAGAUUUUGAACUACAGCUUCACUGAAGCUAGAGGAGAAGUUUUAGGAGGAUGAUGAAAUAUUUAUUCCAGGUUCAGACUUUAAAGUAUGAGUUAUGGUUUCUGGAGUGUCCAGGGAUACUUUGUGAUGCACCUGAAUCAGUCCUGAUGCUCUGGGCUCCCUCCAAAUUGUCAAACUCUUUCCCACAGAGCAGUGCUGAGCACCAGACACAGUCCUCCUGCUGGAGCCUCCACCCUGUCAGGUUCAGUGAAGAAUUCCCCCUGGGGCCCUAGAGUGACACUGGGACUGCUGAAUCUUUACAGCCAUUAAACAUCACUGUCUGGAAGGAUCUGUUAAAACAUCAUGGGAAGGCAUCCUGGCUCUUCUGGGAGAGCAAAGCCCUGGGAACCUUCGGGAGCACCAUCUCCUCCUUGGAGGCAGCACCGACUCAGGAUUGUGUUUUCCAAGGUUAUCAUGUGCCAUCCAGCUCAGUCAGGAUAAAAUAAUAAAUUAAGCAAACAAACCUACCUCAAAAAACAAACAAACAAAACCCCUACCAAAUCAAAGUACUUUUGUGACAAGAAAGAAGCAGAGUCCAAAGGGUUAGAAACACACAGUCCCCACCAGCCAGGGAGCAUCAGCUGGGCUGCCCAAAUAGCUGCAAUUAACCUCCUGCUGAGACUGGUGUGGAUCACCUCCCCUGUGCUGCCUCCACAGCCUCCCCCAGACUGCAUUUUCUACUUGGGUUGUAAAUGUUUGAGAGGCUGCUGUUCAGUGGUAUUUAGACUGUGCCCAGCAUGAUGGGACCCAGGAGCUUUCAUCAAGUCCUGGUGGCCAACUUGACCACAGGAAGGUUGGGGGUUGCAUGCACUGAUCCUGCAUCAGCCAGCAGCUGGACAUUCAGGUUCUGGAACAGUUCUUGCUCUUUGUGUUU